AAUUCAACCAAAACAAUCAAUUUGUUUUGUAUCCAGAUGACUUAAAAUGUUUUAAUCAUUGAAAACACUCCAAAUUAUCUCCCUUUGGUGCAAAAGGGAUUGAAGAAUAAGUUGAACUUUUAUGUCACAUAUAUAGUCCUUGAAAGUUGACUUGAAGAUUAUAGAAUAGAUUAAAUUCUAAUUCAUAAACUCAAACGAAUAUAAAAUAUUUAUCAAAUAACCACAAACUCUCACAUGGGAGACGCCACUUGCAGAGACAAGUGCAUGUUUUAUUAUUCGUAUAUGUAUAAUGAAAUCAAUGUUUUUGUGUAAAUACACUAAACAUUCUCAGCUGGUACUGGUUACCGCAUACUACAGGUCAACAAAUCUGAAAAUAAUUAAUAUAAAAUUGUUAUAUUAUUUAUUUGGAAAAGUGCUACUGGUCACUUUAACUGCAAUGGCUCGAAUGACUUUAAACUACCUGAAUUCACUCGUGCAUGAAACUUUAAACCCCAUUCAAACCGACCCUACUAUAAAUAACUAAACAUGUGUUAACUAUAAACACUCUUACAUGUUCGACUUACAAUUCAAUUACAAAUUUGAAAACAUUGAAAACCAAAAAUAUCUAAAACCUAUCUAUUCUGUAGCUAAGGAUAUUGUAUCAAAAAUCAUGAUUUUUUUUCUUAAACCUCAAUUUAUUUCUCCAUAACACUUCUGAUGCAUUGAAAGUUGGUUGACACUUUUGUAGUUCUUGAGUUACUAUUUUUCCAAAAAUAGUGUAAACAAAGCUGUUGUUUAACGUUCAGCUGUUCAUUUGAUAAAAUAUUUCAUACACUACAAUCAAUUGAUGUGAACAAGAAGAAAACAAAUUGUUGAGUGGGAAACAAUUUUUACAUGUCAAUCUGCGACAAUCUGGGUUCAGUUGUUGAUAAAUAGUUUUAAACCAAUGAAGUUCAAUAAUUAACCAUGUAACUAUAAUAUUCAGUGACAAUCAUUUGAGAAUCUACUUGGAAUAAUGAUAAUCCCCUCCUCUUUGUUUUUGGGUUUAAGAUGCAUUCUUACAGUCAAAGACUACAUGUGGUUUGCUUGAUAGUUUUCUAUUUUCCAAACUUAUAUUACUAGUUUGAGAUAGACAAAACAUAGUGCACUGAUAACAACAUUCUAUUCAUUCAAAUAGAUACACGCUCAGAUAUUCAAGUUAUAAUGUAGUUGAACCAACUAAAUUAUUAUCUCCAGAUCAUUGAACCAACUAUAAUUUUAUCUCAAGAUCAAAUUAUUGCCUUCCAAUGCAUAUUACAUUUUUAGUUAGAUGCUCAAUAAAAGCAAUUUUUACCCUUCAGCACUAUCAAGCACAGUGAUUAGUUUAUUUUGCUAUUAUAAGUACAGGAAAAAGGAGAAUAACUCAGAAGAACACAUGUUUGCAUGUCUUAAAAAAACCAUGACACAAUAUACACCAUGUGGAAUAGAAUAUUGACACAUUUCUGUUAUUAUAUAUAUUUUAACUUGAAGUAUAAGUAGGAAUAUAAUUCUCUUAACAACAUUGCACUGAUAGACAAUUUAAAUUGACUAGAUAGAUAAACUUUGAAGUUUCUUCUAUAAUUAACUUAUUAUUUUAAGAUGUGACUUUUCUGAUCAAGAAUUAUUCCCCUUAGUUUUAAUUGGGUGUUUCUUUUAUUUCAGGAUGAUAGUAAAUGUUCCACCUGACAGAAUCUUUUUUGAAUUUAAACACAAUGUCAUGGACCAUAAUAUAAAGGUCAAGUGGACCAUAAUAUAAAGGUCAAGAUUGAUUUUGACGGUGGACAUUUACCCAUUCAAGAAUUAUACUACAGUUUGGGGGUAUCUAUACUAUAUAAACUCGAUAUACAUCAAUACUUUGUCUUUUUAAACAUAAUUCAUAUAUAUAAACACUCAUUUUCUAAACAAGCUAUAUGAUUGUGUCUGGUAUUAUUUUUAUGUCAAGUGAGUCACUUCAUAGUGUAAUGUGUAUUUUUAUUCUUGUUUGUUUUAUUCUAUCAUUUCAUUCUUUCCAAAUAACAAAGGUCUGAAAGAAUUAAAAUAAAAUGCUUAUGAAUUUGAUUUGAUCCGUAAUUUCUACAAUAUCUUUUCACUGCCGAUGCUUCUGCAAAUAUAGCUUAAAAUUUCCUGAUAAACAAAAGCAAUCUAUUCUACAGUGCUUGAUAGCACUUUGUUUAAUUAGUUUUGCUAUUAUGAGGACUCAAUGAAAUGUGGCAUAACUCUGUUGACAACUCAAUAGAACACAAUUUUGCAUAUCUCAAAGAAAGCAUCUCAAAUUUUCCUUAAAAAUUAUUACAGAAACAUAUUGCAUAUGUGUUGCUUGUGAUAAUCAAGCUUUGAUAUUAAAACCUUUCAGAA
rnacentral:lncRNA from 1 species